GUGGGGAAUAUUGGACAAUGGGCGAAAGCCUGAUCCAGCCAUGCCGCGUGUGUGAAGAAGGUCUUCGGAUUGUAAAGCACUUUAAGUUGGGAGGAAGGGCAGUAAGUUAAUACCUUGCUGUUUUGACGUUACCGACAGAAUAAGCACCGGCUAACUUCGUGCCAGCAGCCGCGGUAAUACGUAGGGUGCAAGCGUUAAUCGGAAUUACUGGGCGUAAAGCGUGCGCAGGCGGUUAUGUAAGACAGAGGUGAAAUCCCCGGGCUCAACCUGGGAACUGCCUCCAAAACUGCAUGACUAGAGUACGGUAGAGGGUAGUGGAAUUUCCUGUGUAGCGGUGAAAUGCGUAGAUAUAGGAAGGAACACCAGUGGCGAAGGCGACUACCUGGACUGAUACUGACACUGAGGUGCGAAAGCGUGGGGAGCAAACAGGAUUAGAAACCCCGGUAGUCC
rnacentral:rRNA from 1 species